UCCUGCGAUCCCGCCUCCCUUGAGAAAGUUACGAUGAGCGCUCCUUCCUUCCAUCCUGCGAGACAAAAUUUGGAAACAUCACCGUCAAUCACGCAGCUCGCCAGUCAACCUACUCCCUCUGUCCUCCCUCUGCGGUCCUUUCCUUCCCCAACCCCGCAUCUCUAGCUUCCUUCUUCACCGGCUCACCGUCUCUCUUCCGCUCGUGCGUCCGGCGUCCCUAUGCUCCACUUCAAAAAAGUUCUUGCGCCAAUGCACUCUCUCACAACCGGAGGAUGGGGAGGGAGGAGAAUCGCUCGCCGCGACGCGCAGCGAAGGAUGUCGGUGAAGCCCGUCGCGCGGACCUCGGGACUCUGCUACCCAGGUGGCCCAACCCAUCCCGCUUGGUGGGACCUCCAGGUGUGGCCGGCGAGAUACAGCCAAAGCACGUUGAGCACCAAUAGCUUCUUCAAGUCCUCCUACACCCUCCCUCCCUGCUGCCACCAGAUAUGCUAACCCCUUCUCUUUCCAUCGUGCUGUGCAAAAUUGAGAACCCAACCCUAACUUAAGCUAACUUCGAUCUCUUUCAAACAUUCAAAGGAAAUCCAAGCAAGCGGAGCGGCGGCUGCCAUGGUAGAGGAGGCGCUGCCAUGUUCUUUAGUCACUCCUAGGACACCUCCUUCCUGCUUACCUCCUUGCUGCUUCAAUCAGGCAAAUCAAUUCGAUUAUUCAUAGCUGCUCCUUUCUGCGUUUGUUCCCCACACAAUUGUGCCCUGUUCCAAGAAACAACAGAAAGCCUCUGCAAUUUUCAAGUAUGACUUUGGAUCUUGUUUUCUUCCUGUGGAUGACAACUACAAAAUAUAUAGCUGGUAGAGAUGUAAGAUACUUUUUGACAAAUAUUUUCUUGUGUUCUUUUUAGAAUAUAAGAUAGUCAGAUAAACCAUUUCUAGGUUUGGAAACAUGAUGUUCUGGACACUGGAUCCAUGACAUCAUAAAUAAUUUAGCUGGAUCUCGGGCAUCUUUGUUUAUCUGGUCAGUAUUCAGUACAACACCUGAUUGUUAAUAAAUCCUGAUGAAGUUGAUAGCCAUUGCUCUAAGAAAUAAAAAAUAGCAAUAUCAUGAGUCAUGCCAAAAGCAGUGUUGCAUUUAUCUACACUGAAGUUAUAUGACAUUAUGACUGAGCUCAUGUACUUUCUCCCAUCUAUUACAGCACCUUUAGGAUAUAUAGUGCAUUUGAGAACCAACACUCAGGUUUUUUGUUAAGUACAAUUAAUAAGCUUGGCCCACUACGGUAGGUCAAUGCUAUACAACCUUCAGCUAUUUUCUGCAUUUGCCUUUUUCUUAGGGGAGAGGGUAAUUUGUCAGUAGAACAUCGGUCCCUACCUAUUCUUGUGCACAUGUUUAAACCCACGUUAGUUAUGUUGGCAGCUUACUCAAGGAGUCAAGGUGUACCCUUUAUCUUUCAGGGGUUGUCUGAACAAACUAUAAAUGCACUUCAGUUAAUGGAGGAAGAAGGAUUGUUAUCCUGAAUUUGUUAAUCAACGCUUUUGGCACUGCUGGAAGGCAUUUGGAGGCACUAGCUGUAUUUGAAGGCAUUUGGAGGCACUCCAACAUAUCUAGGAUAAUGAGAUGAAAAUGUUUUUUUAGUCUUGUUUUAAGUUUAUGAUGUUUUGCUUUCUUUGCACUCCUACGAUUAUCUAUUAUUAACAAGGUGUUGAGUAUGUCAAGUUCUUGUUGUUCUGCAUGGCCAUCUCAAUACACUAAAGUCAUGAUAAGACAAUUUCCCCUUGAAGCGUCAAUUUCUCCAAGUCUGCUACACAGGUUUUAUAGACUAAUGUAUGGUUAGACAUUUAUUUAUAUAUAUUAUUUUAAUAUCUUUACUAAUAAUUUACUAAUGCAAUACUCUGAUAAUGAUACACAAACACGAGUUCUAUAUUAUUCUUUUAUGAAUUGUAUAUUAGUCUUCAUGGUUGGGUGACGGUCUGCGUGCAGGUGGGCUCAGGAUGAGGUGCCCAUUCAGGUAGUAAAUAGUAUUAGCUUGUGUGUCUCUAAUGAUAUUUAUUUUGUAUCAUGAAUAUCAAUAUUUUCUAAUAUAAACUUAGUCAAAGUUUAUUUUUAGAUAGAUGGAGUAUUUCACUCUUUCUAAACGUCAAUAGAAAUUUUUAGCAUGCUCAUGGAAAAGUUUGAUAAUACAAAUUUAUUGGUUAAUUUUGUGUUCAAUGACAACAAUUGAUUAACCCAAGUACGGUUAUAUUUUGAAUCAUAGACAAGGGAUUAUAGCACAAACUACAGGCCAAACUUCUCUAAAAGGACUACUCUUUAAGGUAGUGCUUGGUGAUGCAUUUGAUUUUCUUCGUUUAUAUGAUUUUCAUUGCAUAUAUUAGCUAAUCUAAAAUAUUUAGUUUAUUGCAAGCUAUAAAUCUUCGAGUCACCUGACUUCCUUCAAAGGUGCCACGCUCGCUAACCAAUAUUUGUAUAUUUUUAUGCUUGCAUGUAGGUACACUAUUUCUUCAGAUGCUAAUGACUUGCACCAGGGCAACUGCAUUGAUUUAUUCAUGUGAAUUCUAUAUUUAAAUCAAACGAUGGCUUCCAAACGGUGUUAGAAAUUAUUCAGUGUUGUCUUGAAAAUUUAUGAUGAGCCUCUCUUUUUCUGAGUUGAUCUAUCCAAUGUGUCUUCAGGGAUAUGCAUUUCAAUGCAGCAUCAAACCUCCUCUUGCAUCCACGGAGGACAUAAUUGGCAUUAAUGGAUGGACUAUGAAGGCAUGGCACAAGAGAACAUACGUUUGAAGCACACGAAGAGCAUCCGUCCGUGUGACAAAAAUAGAAACGGCAAGACUCAAGUGGAAUAGGAGGGAUGCACUAAUGCUGUAUUAGACUCAACUUGCAACCAGUCAUAUCAUCUAUUAGAUGACACCAACUCUGCUAGAAACAAGAUUGGGGUAAAACGGGCUCAGCGAAGCUCCUACACGUUCCAAUCACUGUUAGAUGGCGGUGUGCAGCUAGCUUUUGGUUCUUAUUGGCCUUUUUACGACAUCAACCCCAUACAAGCUAUCCAAAUCGUCAUGUUCCGAAAGCCUCCUGGAUGGAAGUCCCCUGGAUCCUGCGGAGCGCUUGACCCUUGAUGAAUCACUGAAAGCUUCUACAGUAGGCAACUUCUGUCACCACCAUGCAUGGCCGUUCUGUCGUUGCGAACGCGACUAGGAAACCUAGGGCUCUUCUUCGGGCACGGCUAAGUGCAGCACAUGUCCCUCGGCGAGGCAGAGCUCGCUACGGGGUUUUAGGGUCUCUACAUGCUUGUAAUGGCCAGACCAGAGCUUGCCAUGGUGGUGCUCCGGCCAUGGCGAGCCUUCGGGGCGGUUUGCUGGCACGGGUGUUUCUAAGUCUUGGGGGCUCGGCAAGGCCGCGCUUGUGCUUGUGUUUAUGCGAGAGCGAGUGCACGUGUGUGUGUGUGUUAUGUAUCAUGAUAAAGAAAACGGUGGGGCCUUGGGCCUCUUAGGUGGAGAGACCACGAUGACGGCCAUGGCGAAUGCAUACCGGCGAGCGAGGCAGCCGUGCGGCUUCACCAUGGGCUUGAGGUGGUUAGAAUGGCGGUGCAGUGGCAGAGUUUGUGCAGUGCAGGUUUAGGCAGUGCAACAGCGCUGGUGUAACCGAUCGUUGUUCCCGUUCUCGGCGAUGUCGAGUGACUCUAUAUUAUCUUAUCAUGUGAUCUAUGUGUUUUUAAUA